AAAUUCUGUGUUAGGAGGAUACUGGCCCUCGAAGUCCAGUGCAUUGUUUUUCCUUUCCCUAUCAGUGUGUGUCAAUGGAUUGGAAAUCUGCUUGGUUCUUGGCUUAUAUAAUAUUGGGUGUUUUGGAUUCUUUUGUUAUUGUGACGUGUUGUGAUCUUUGGUUUUAACAAGUUUUUUUUCCUGGAACAGGCAAAAUGGUAUAUGAAAGUUGCAGAGGGUGGGUAUGUCUAUGCUAUGUUCAAUAUCUCCUUGUGCUUCUCCUUUGGGGAAGGAUUGACACGUAACCAUCAACUAGCAAGAAAAUGGAUGAAGCGGGCUGCGGAUCGUGGCCAUAGUAAAGCUCAAUUUGAGGACAUGCUCUCUUUUAUGUUAAAGAGAAGCGAGGAGAAAUUCAAAUAAUAAAGUCUGUUUUAGUUGGGAAAGCUUCUGAAUACUUGAGAAGUUACUUCGCUAGUUUUGCUUGGGUCCAUUGACAAAAGCUUAUUGCAGUUCUCUAAACUUGCUUCUAGCUUCGCGGGGGGCCCACGAGUUUGCUAAUGAACUUCGUGCUAGUUUAAGUUAUUAGGUCCAGUGCUUCGUUUCUGCCUUAAAAGCAUUAUCAAAAAAGGAAGUUCAUUAUGGGAUUUAUGCCACAACGGAACAGCUAAAUAAUAUGUAAAAUGCUUUGAUUAAGUCUGAAUUCAUUAUCAUAAUUGUGAUUAUAAGUAAUGCUUCUUUCUCCUUUUAUAUAUUGUAACAAUUUCUUAAUUAGGAACCAUUAAAUUUCUUUAUUUGUAAACAAAAUAAAUGAAUUAUAUAAUUCCAUGAUGUUA